rnacentral:lncRNA from 1 species
AUUGUACGAAUUAAAAAUAAUCGAGGUAGAAUAUAUAUAUAUAUAUAUAUAGAGAGAGAGAGAGAGAGAGAGAGAGAGAGCCAGGCUGGUAUACUAUCGGUAGUACGGACGUCUUCGUGCUACCAAGUUGUUUUCGAUGAUGUCGUUUCCAAAUCGACGAUUGACUCCAUUAGACUUGAUCUACACUAUUGAAAGUAUUUGAAAAUUAAAUUUCAUAAUUUUUCGAUAUCAUUUAUCUAUCAAAUGAGUAAUUUAAAAAUGAACGGCUGAAAAUAAAAAUUUCAUAAAAAAUAAUGAUAAAAGACUUGAAUUUAAGAUCAGAGGUAUUGACCUUAUUCUAAAUAGUGAAAAAAAUU